CCUACGGGUGGCAGCAGUGGGGAAUAUUGCGCAAUGGGCGAAAGCCUGACGCAGCGACGCCGCGUGAGGGAUGAAGGUUUUCGGAUCGUAAACCUCUGUCAGAAGGGAAGAAGUUGCAUGGGGCCAAUCACCUGUGCAUUGACGGUACCUUCAAAGGAAGCACCGGCUAACUCCGUGCCAGCACCCGCGUUAAUACGGAGGGUGCGAGCGUUAAACGGAAUUACUGGGCGUAAAGCGCACGUAGGCUGUAUGACAAGGCCAGGGGGAAAUCCUACGGCCCAACCGUGGAACUGCCUUUGAAACUGGCAAACUUGAGUAUGUGAGAGGGUGGCGGAAUUCCUGGUGUAGGAGUGAAAUCCGUAGAUAUCAGGAGGAACAUCAGUGGCGAAGGCGGCCGCCUGGCACACAACUGACGCUGAGGUGCGAAAGCGUGGGUAGCAAACAGGAUUAGAUACCCUAGUAGUC
rnacentral:rRNA from 1 species